rnacentral:rRNA from 1 species
GGUUAAGCGACUAAGCGUACACGGUGGAUGCCCUGGCAGUCAGAGGCGAUGAAGGACGUGCUAAUCUGCGAAAAGCGUCGGUAAGGUGAUAUGAACCGUUAUAACCGGCGAUGUCCGAAUGGGGAAACCCAGUGCAAUUCGUUGCACUAUCGUUAACUGAAUACAUAGGUUAACGAGGCGAACCGGGGGAACUGAAACAUCUAAGUACCCCGAGGAAAAGAAAUCAACCGAGAUUCCCCCAGUAGCGGCGAGCGAACGGGGAGCAGCCCAGAGUCUGAAUCAGCUUGUGUGUUAGUGGAACGGUCUGGAAAGUCCGACGGUACAGGGUGAUAGUCCCGUACACCAAAAUGCACAGGCUGUGAACUCGAAGAGUAGGGCGGGACACGUGGUAUCCUGUCUGAAUAUGGGGGGGACCAUCCUCCAAGGCUAAAUACUCCUGACUGACCGAUAGUGAACCAGUACCGUGAGGGAAAGGCGAAAAGAACCCCGGCGAGGGGAGUGAAAAAGAACCUGAAACCGUGUACGUACAAGCAGUGGGAGCACCUUCGGGUGUGACUGCGUACCUUUUGUAUAAUGGGUCAGCGACUUAUAUUCUGUAGCAAGGUUAACCGUAUAGGGGAGCCGCAGGGAAACCGAGUCUUAACUGGGCGUUAAGUUGCAGGGUAUAGACCCGAAACCCGGUGAUCUAGCCAUGGGCAGGUUGAAGGUUGGGUAACACUAACUGGAGGACCGAACCGACUAAUGUUGAAAAAUUAGCGGAUGACUUGUGGCUGGGGGUGAAAGGCCAAUCAAACCGGGAGAUAGCUGGUUCUCCCCGAAAGCUAUUUAGGUAGCGCCUCGUGAACUCAUCUUCGGGGGUAGAGCACUGUUUCGGCUAGGGGGUCAUCCCGACUUACCAACCCGAUGCAAACUACGAAUACCGAAGAAUGUUAUCACGGGAGACACACGGCGGGUGCUAACGUCCGUCGUGAAGAGGGAAACAACCCAGACCGCCAGCUAAGGUCCCAAAGUCAUGGUUAAGUGGGAAACGAUGUGGGAAGGCACAGACAGCCAGGAUGUUGGCUUAGAAGCAGCCAUCAUUUAAAGAAAGCGUAAUAGCUCACUGGUCGAGUCGGCCUGCGCGGAAGAUGUAACGGGGCUAAACCAUGCACCGAAGCUGCGGCAGCGACACUAUGUGUUGUUGGGUAGGGGAGCGUUCUGUAAGCCUGCGAAGGUGACCUGUGAGGGUUGCUGGAGGUAUCAGAAGUGCGAAUGCUGACAUAAGUAACGAUAAAGCGGGUGAAAAGCCCGCUCGCCGGAAGACCAAGGGUUCCUGUCCAACGUUAAUCGGGGCAGGGUGAGUCGACCCCUAAGGCGAGGCCGAAAGGCGUAGUCGAUGGGAAACAGGUUAAUAUUCCUGUACUUGGUGUUACUGCGAAGGGGGGACGGAGAAGGCUAUGUUAGCCGGGCGACGGUUGUCCCGGUUUAAGCAUGUAGGCUGGUUGUCCAGGCAAAUCCGGAUAAUCAAGGCUGAGGUGUGAUGACGAGGCACUACGGUGCUGAAGUAACAAAUGCCCUGCUUCCAGGAAAAGCCUCUAAGCAUCAGGUAACAUUAAAUCGUACCCCAAACCGACACAGGUGGUCAGGUAGAGAAUACCAAGGCGCUUGAGAGAACUCGGGUGAAGGAACUAGGCAAAAUGGUGCCGUAACUUCGGGAGAAGGCACGCUGGUGUGUAGGUGAAGUCCCUGCGGAUGGAGCUGAGACCAGUCGAAGAUACCAGCUGGCUGCAACUGUUUAUUAAAAACACAGCACUGUGCAAACACGAAAGUGGACGUAUACGGUGUGACGCCUGCCCGGUGCCGGAAGGUUAAUUGAUGGGGUUAUCCGUAAGGAGAAGCUCUUGAUCGAAGCCCCGGUAAACGGCGGCCGUAACUAUAACGGUCCUAAGGUAGCGAAAUUCCUUGUCGGGUAAGUUCCGACCUGCACGAAUGGCGUAAUGAUGGCCAGGCUGUCUCCACCCGAGACUCAGUGAAAUUGAACUCGCUGUGAAGAUGCAGUGUACCCGCGGCAAGACGGAAAGACCCCGUGAACCUUUACUAUAGCUUGACACUGAACAUUGAGCCUUGAUGUGUAGGAUAGGUGGGAGGCUUUGAAGCGUGGACGCCAGUCUGCGUGGAGCCAACCUUGAAAUACCACCCUUUAAUGUUUGAUGUUCUAACGUUGGCCCCUGACCGGGGUUGCGGACAGUGUCUGGUGGGUAGUUUGACUGGGGCGGUCUCCUCCCAAAGCGUAACGGAGGAGCACGAAGGUUAGCUAAUCCUGGUCGGACAUCAGGAGGUUAGUGCAAUGGCAUAAGCUAGCUUGACUGCGAGCGUGACGGCGCGAGCAGGUGCGAAAGCAGGUCAUAGUGAUCCGGUGGUUCUGAAUGGAAGGGCCAUCGCUCAACGGAUAAAAGGUACUCCGGGGAUAACAGGCUGAUACCGCCCAAGAGUUCAUAUCGACGGCGGUGUUUGGCACCUCGAUGUCGGCUCAUCACAUCCUGGGGCUGAAGUAGGUCCCAAGGGUAUGGCUGUUCGCCAUUUAAAGUGGUACGCGAGCUGGGUUUAGAACGUCGUGAGACAGUUCGGUCCCUAUCUGCCGUGGGCGCUGGAGAAUUGAGGGGGGCUGCUCCUAGUACGAGAGGACCGGAGUGGACGCAUCACUGGUGUUCGGGUUGUCAUGCCAAUGGCACUGCCCGGUAGCUAAAUGCGGAAGAGAUAAGUGCUGAAAGCAUCUAAGCACGAAACUUGCCCCGAGAUGAGUUCUCCCUGAGACUUUAAGUCUCCUGAAGGAACGUUAAAGACGAUGACGUUGAUAGGCCGGGUGUGUAAGCGCAGCGAUGCGUUGAGCUAACCGGUACUAAUGAACCGUGAGGCUUAACCUU